GUGGCUGGAGUCCUGUAUGCCUCAUACAUCUGAGUAUCUUUACCUUUUGCUAAAUUAGGGAAAUUCUCCUGGAUUAUUUCUGUGAAUAGCUUUUGUAGUUCAUUUGUUUGAGUCCCUACUUCUUUUAUGUUCUUAAUUCUUAAGUUAUAGAUCCUCUUGUCAUCUUCUAGUCUUUGUAUUAUUGCUGUUUGUUUUCUUGUUAUUUUUAAGAAUUUUUUCAUUUCAUGCUCCCACCUUACAAAUCUGUCCUCCAGUUCUGAUAAUCUAUCCUUAGUUUCUCUCAAGCUGUUAUGCCAGCUUUCAAUAGAGUUUUUAGUUUCCUGGUAAUCUCUGUGAACCUGCUUCACGUAUUCUAUGUUUUCUCUAUUUUCUCCAUCAAACAAUUUUCCCCUUUUUUUCUGUUCUUCCAUUCCACCAUCUGUUUUUUCUUGGGUGGUGCUUAGCAUUUCUCUAACUAUUCUACUUAUUUCUUGCUUUAUUUCAUUAAAUACUUCAUUUUUGAAUUCGUCUUUGAGGCUUCGGAGAUACCGUUUUAUAUCUAUAGGUGCCGUGUCUGAUAUUGCAUGUUUUCUGUCUUCAUUCUCUUUUGCUUUUACCUUUCCUGGAUCAGUGUUCUCAGGAUUGGGGACUGAGGACCCUUUCUUGUUACUCCCUUUUCCCAUACUUUUUGUUCCUUCCAUACAAGUGUAUGUAGGAGGCUCAGUUUUUUUUUUUUUUUUCUCUCUUUGUCUGUUGCACUUUGUUUGAAUCUGCCGGCUAGGUAUCCCUGCCCACUGCAGUGUACUAGGAAGACACAGACCUGGGCAGCCUCUGCUGGGCCCGCCGCUCCAGGUUAAACUACUGAAUGUUUCACUGCUAGGGCACACCACCAGGCACAGGGACCUGAUUUGGGCUAGCCUACAGGAUCUUAGUCCGCGGUGUCAUCAGGCCAAGUACUCCCCACCACUCCCGCUUGAGCGGGGAAUAUGCAGCUAAAGUCACUGCAGGGCUGUGUUCCGGCUAGUCUGCCCGUUCCCAGAAUGUCCUCUGUUGGAGCCUCCUAGUCUAUGAAAGGGUCCCCAUUUCUCUCACUCACCACAGGUCGAUGCAGGGCUCCCUGCCAGUCCCGCUCUCAACGCUGUUUGGUUCGCCGAUUCCAGCUCUCAGAGCUUAGCGUGCCUCUCUCCCUGCCGUGCGGAUUGGGCCGCAGUAUCAGCAGCAGGAAAUUCAAAUCGUGGCUUCCAAUGGCACAGGGUCCAGCUUCCACACUGAGAUUUUAUCUGUUCCUGUUAUAGCAUCAGGAUUGCAUUUCCAGUUGGUUUCUCUCAGCUUACUUUGUUCCUGGGUCAGCAAGGUACAUCUCCCCUCAUGUAGGACUCCUGACACGGCACCGCUCCUGGAUUCUAAGCUGUAAUCUCAGAGAGCCUCCGUGGCUGCUGUUAUUUGUCUGCGAUGUUCUCCCGGAAGUCCAGCAGCUGUUUUCUUAACCAUCAAUUGCAGUCCUGUCCAAUAAUCUCUCUCCACCCUGAGAGAUUUUGUUUAACCAAUUUUAAUAUCAUUUUGACCAGCUGGCAACCCAAGUAGAAGCAUGCUUUUUAAAUCUGUAACCCAAAUGAACCUUGAUUAAAUGAUCUGAAAAUGCAAAAGAAAAAAGAAAAGAAAAAAGAUUGCUGAGCUCAAAUAAAAAGAACAGCUUUUUGUGGAUAUGAAAACUGUCUUAGUUACUUUUUACUUGCUGAGACAAAAUACCUGAAGCCCAAGUUGGGAAAGGAAAGGUUUAUUUCUUACAGUUUUUGGAGGUUUUAGUCCACACUCAGUUGGCUUCAGGUGGUGUGGCAUGGCAGAUCCACAGUUCAUGGCAGCUGCAAACAGCAAGGCAGAAGCCAGCAAAAGAGCAAGACACACUUUCUUCCUGCUAUUACAUUAUAUCCUGGCUCCACCCCUGAAAGGCUUUUGGCCCAGGCCGGACACUGUAACCAGAACCAGGAAGCCCCUAUCUCUCCCGCCCCUAUGAAUUUACCUGUGAUGCCUUCUUCCCCGCCCCUGGGAAUUUGCCUAUGGCACCAAACCUAGGACCAAUGGGCUAUCCGUGCAUCCCUGGUGCCCCCUUAGGUUCCACCCCAAACUGAGGCUACUUACAUAUCCCCAUGCCACGUGUCCGCUGGAGAGAUCACCGGACUCCAGUGGUGGGGGGUGCCAGUCAUCUCUGUCCGUGUUCUCAGAAUAAAGGUCUCUUUUUGUUUUAUACUUCUCAUCUUUUGGAAAUACUUUUCAUCUUUUGGAAAUAAUCCUAUCAUUUGGUGCCAUGACUCGAUCGGCAGGCAUUGACUCCUGGGACACACCAGUUGAGUCCCCCAGCUGAUUCACAAACUGGAUAGCAUCCUGGAUUAAUUCCUCUCUUUUUCUUCUCCCAAGACGUUUGACUUGUCGCCAGCCGCCUGCACUCCCCAUCGGCCAGAUUGAUUUCAGGACUACAUCCAAGGUGGAGUGGCCCCCAUCUGGUCUACUUGGCUACCCCUACAGCAGUCAAAGUUGCUGGACUCCCAUCCUGGUUUCACAUCACUCAGGCUAAGAGGUGCCCUCCCCGCCCUAAAUCUGAUCAUUCUGAGUGGUCAUCUCAUCUUCUGUCGCCCACCUGUCUCCUUCUCACAAAGGCCUCAGGGCCACAGUUAAUAGGCUAAGUCAUGUUUUGUUAUCUACUUUGGUUCCUAAUUCCUUACAUUCUGUUAAUGAUCAUUUUUACAGCAGGACUCUUUAAUAGUAUUGCCUACAGACUCCAACGUCAUGCAUACCAGAGACAAGCCUUACCAACCUACCUCUUAACCUUUAUGCUUUCAGAUGGGGGAGUAAUCGCCUCUCAUAACUUCACUUCUCCUAACCCCACAUUUAGUUUUCAGAAUUCUGCCUUACCGUGGAAAUGUUCCUACCUCAAUGUCGUCCUGAUAUAAUGACAUGUCUAAAUCAAAGGCACCUUUCCUUCUACCUCACCUGGAUCCUUAAAUAUGACAGUGCCAUGUCUCCUCAUAACAUCUUCUCUUUGUUUUUCUAGUCUAACAUACGUGCAUUCACCAGUGAAGUGUCCUUGGCUAAAACACCUGGUACCAGCUUCUACCUGGGCAUCAACUGUCAUCCCGUCGACUCCCCUAGGCUCCAAUACAGCGCCCUCUGCCAGCAGGAAGUAGUUAAAGAGAGAAAUCUUCGUCCCUUUUCAUAAUAAUAAUCAUAAGAUGGGAUAUGAAAGCCUUUUGGCACAGGCCGGACACUGUAACCAGAACCAGGAAGCCCCUAUCUCCCCUGCCCCUAGGAAUUUACCUGUGAUGCCUUCUUCCCCACCCCUGGGAAUUUGCCAAACCUAGGACCAAUGGGCUACCCGUGCAUCCCUGGUGCCCCCUUAGGUUCCACCCCAAACUGAGGCUACUUACAUACCCCCCACGCCACGUGUCCGCUAGAGAGAUCGCUGGACUCCAGCGGUGGGGGGUGCCGGUCACCUCUGUCCGUGUUCUCAGAAUAAAGGCCUCUUUUUGUUUUAUA